rnacentral:rRNA from 1 species
CCAGACUCCUACGGGAGGCAGCAGUGAGGAAUAUUGGUCAAUGGGCGCGAGCCUGAACCAGCCAAGUCGCGUGAGGGAAGACGGUCCUAUGGAUUGUAAACCUCUUUUGUCGGGGAGCAAAAGACGCCACGCGUGGCGUUCCGAGAGUACCCGAAGAAAAAGCAUCGGCUAACUCCGUGCCAGCAGCCGCGGUAAUACGGAGGAUGCGAGCGUUAUCCGGAUUUAUUGGGUUUAAAGGGUGCGCAGGCGGAAUGUCAAGUCAGCGGUAAAAUUUCGGGGCUCAACCCCGUCGUGCCGUUGAAACUGGCGUUCUUGAGUGAGCGAGAAGUAUGCGGAAUGCGUGGUGUAGCGGUGAAAUGCAUAGAUAUCACGCAGAACUCCGAUUGCGAAGGCAGCAUACCGGCGCUCAACUGACGCUCAUGCACGAAAGCGUGGGGAUCGAACAGGAUUAGAUACCCCGGUA